rnacentral:rRNA from 1 species
UACGGGGGGGCAAGCGUUGUUCGGAAUUACUGGGCGUAAAGGGCUCGUAGGUGCCAACUAAGUCAGACGUGAAAUCCCUCGGCUUAACCGGGGAACUGCGUCUGAUACUGGAUGGCUUGAGUUCGGGGAGAGGGAAGCGGAAUUUCCGGUGUAGCGGUGAAAUGCGUAGAUAUCGGAAGGAACACCAAUGGCGAAGGCAGCUUCCUGGCCCAUACUGACGCUCAGGUGCGAA